GACGAACGCUGGCGGCGUGCUUAACACAUGCAAGUCGAACGGAAAGGCCCUGCUUUUGUGGGGUGCUCGAGUGGCGAACGGGUGAGUAACACGUGAGUAACCUGCCCUUGACUUUGGGAUAACUUCAGGAAACUGGGGCUAAUACCGGAUAGGAGCUCCUGCUGCAUGGUGGGGGUUGGAAAGUUUCGGCUGUUGGGGAUGGACUCGCGGCUUAUCAGCUUGUUGGUGGGGUAGUGGCUUACCAAGGCUUUGACGGGUAGCCGGCCUGAGAGGGUGACCGGCCACAUUGGGACUGAGAUAGGGCCCAGAGUCGUACGGGAGGCAGCAGUGGGGAAUAUUGCACAAUGGGCGGAAGCCUGAUGCAGCAGCGCCGCGUGCGGGAUGACGGCCUUCGGGUUGUAAACCGCUUUCGCCUGUGACGAAGCGUGAGUGACGGUAAUGGGUAAAGAAGCACCGGCUAACUACGUG
rnacentral:rRNA from 1 species